GUACGUUUACUGAAGUAAAGGAUGUGAUUACUUCCUCCUCCACUGCCUGUCCGCCCCAUGGCUUCCUAUAAAAGCAGAGCUGCUUCACUGCUGUGUCAGUGGAUCUGCACUCUAGCACUCAGGUUUGGAUCUGAUCUGAAAUUCAAAAAUGUUCGGCCAGGGCGUCACUAACAACGGAUAUCAAGGAACAUGGGGAUCCCAGUGGCAAUACCCAGGAGGGCCAAUGCCUGGGGGAAUGCCUGGAGGAAUGCCUGGAGGAAUGCCUGGGGGAAUGCCUGGAGGUAUGCCUGGAGGGCCAAUGCCUGGGGGAAUGCCAGGAGGGCCAAUGCCUGGAGGAAAUCCUGGGGGACCAAGGGGUUGGGGGUGUUGAUCUCACUAGGGUCCUGAGCAGUAAAGCAGCUCCUGCAGCAGCGCCUCUGAACAGAUAACGAUGUCUGAAUGGGAGGAGAAACAAUCCCAUUUUCCUCCGGACACUUUCAUCCUGCUUCUUUUAAUGAAAAUAAUCAGUUAAUUUAACCAUCUAACUUUUAAAUCCUGUGUCUUGUGCAACAUACUGUGCUUUUGAUGAAUUACACAGUGAUUAUAAUUAUUCCCUUGUGAUUUACAACAUUAAACUGCUUUUUGCUCAUUAUAAAAAAAAA